GGGGUAGAAAUCAAUACUUCCGGGAGUUGCAUAGAAUGUACUGAGCGGUUUUGUUAGUGGUCCCCUGCCACCUUACAUGGGUUACAUUUUAUGAAAUCUGUUAUGCAGAUGUUCUUUGAAAAAUUCAUAAUUUUUGUUUUUACAUUUUAAUUUAUUUUCGGCCGAUUUCCCACUCGUUUCGCAAGACAAACCGGGUCAAAAAGUCACGUGAUAAAAGUGAACCAGGUCGUCUCCCGGACUUCUGAAACAAGUGCUCAAUGACAUCUAUAAAUAGAUUGAGAACAAUAUAGACAAGCACCCUAAUUGCACAAUAUUUGUGCAUUUCCUAGAUACUGUGUAAUAGAACAGAGACGGACGGAUAUUGAUUUAAUGAUUAUGAAUAAUUCAGACUUGAAUGAUUUACCUUUCAGUUUGGAUGUCCAUGAAAGACGAAAUCCAUUACACCCACCUCGCCUCGAUAUUCACCAGGCUGGGAAGUACUUUCGAUUUGGCAUAUUGGGAAGUAUAUAUAUACUUCUUCUCCAGGUGACCCCAAGGGCGGAUCCAGGAAUUGCGGUUAGGGGGCGCAACUUUAUGAGGCAGGGGGUCCAGGGCGAACCCUGGGGGCCCAGGGGUUUUACAGAUUUUAUAGGGCUUGAAAUAUGUCUCCUAUGUAGUCGUUUUAAGGCUAUUUUCUAUCAUUUUUUAAUAAAGUUAGGCCUAAAUGACGCAAAUUUUAAGGGGUUUUGGAAAAAAUGUAAGUUCUCCCAAUAAAAUUAAUUCAAUAAAUAAAAAGAUUUUGACAUUAAUUCUCCGAGAGUGGAAGAAAUUAUUGCUUCUUUUAUCGUUUACAUUUUUCUAAACUUACCUUAAAUUAACAAAAAUUACGGUGGGGGAGGACUGCGCCUGCUUCCUUACCCCCCCCCCCCCCUCGCUUUACUUCGAGAAACCAUGCUACGUGCCUAUCAGUAGCUACCUGGAGUAUACAGUCCUACGGUACUCUUGUUUACUCCUAGCGAAACCUCGUCAGCUGUAGUAGGUACAGUAAGCGGAAGGUUUCAUUAUCUGUUUCGUAUAUUGUAGAACGCCCUGGGCAGUAGUACAAGAAACAUUUCAUUUUCUGUCAAUCUGCAUAACUCUGCACAUGGGUGUAUAUCGAAACAGUUCGUGAUCACGUGGGACACCAAUGGUCCCUAAUAAUUGCAGUUGCUGGACAUGCACGAGAGGAAUGUUGAAACACAUAAGAUAAACACCUUCCAAAAGAGCACGGUUUUAGAAUUGGUCCAUUGAGCACGUAUUGGUACAUAGUUUGCAUUAUUCUCUUUAGAGAAGUCGAGAGGCAUAGCCUUCCCUCGACUUCUCUAAAGAGAAUAAGUUUGCAUAUGAACUUGCAGACUUGAAUUUGCUUGUGGGUUUUCGCUAAAUGCCAGAAAGAUGACCGUUUUGAUUGCUAGGAAUUUUGUAUGAAGGAAAGAAAUGCACGGUCGUGCGAACAUUCGUAUCCGACGCAGAGAUUAUUGUGCGAGGUCAUGACUCUGCCACGUACCAUUUUCUUCCAGUUGAGUUUCGAAGGGGAGGAUCCAUAUCCUCCAUGAAUGGGGAAAUACGAUUGGAGAGUGCUUUCAAUGUCGGUAAUAAAACCAGAAUUAACAUCCGAGAGACUGUAAAGAUAGGAAAAUAGUCUUGCGAGAUAUAUUGACUUCGUUAAUGUUUUUGGAUUCAGACAACAUAAUCUUACAAAGAAUACAAGUUUCCGCAGGUCAAUUUCAGUACAUAUAGGUACAACAUUAAAAAACGAUUCGCACAUAUAUCUAACCUGCAUACUUUUGGCAAAUUAAGGGAUUAUUUGCAAUUAAAGUGCUGGAAUAUGUUAAGUCGAACUUUAUCAACAGAUGACAUGUUGAUCCAGAGUUUACAUCGAAAAAGUACGGAAGCAUAUUAGGGCCGCAGCAGUAUCUUUUUUUAGUUUGUUAUAACAGAUUAGUAAUCUGGUAUAACAGAUGAUUACUAAUUUGUUAUAUAACAGAUUAGUAAUCUGUUAUAACAAAUUAUCAAUUUGUUAUAACAAAUUACUAAUUACUAAUUUGUUAUAACAAAUUAUCAAUUUGUUAUAACAUAUUACUAAUUUGUUAUAUAAAAGGAUUCCAAAAAUGGCGCCGUUCACGGGUGGACACGCUGAGUGAGAGGUGCGACCGGCCGGCCAAGUUAACGAGUUUGUGUGUGUCUACCGGACUAUAAAUUAUUGUGAACAUAUCAACGAUUGUUUGGAGCAUUUGUAGUAGCAAAUUCUGUGCAUGGUACAUUGGAGAAGUGAUAUUUUCUGUUGGAAGAAGAAUUCGAAGCGAACGUUACUGGUGUGAGUACAUCUCUAGCACUUGAUAUAUCAGGGUAUAUGAAUACACCAGACAAAUAUUUCAAAAUGCCCACCGGAAGUGUAACCACUCGUAACAAUGCUCCUCCAAAAUCAGCUAACACACCAAAAAAAAAAAAAAAAGCAGUCUAAAGAAACCAUUGUCUCAGAAAGCUCCCCAAAAUUCACGCCCGCAGAAAAAACUACAUGCACAAUGGAUUCAAUACAAACACAACUCAGUGAGAUCAACAACGAGCUAAAAAGAACUAUCAAAGUAAAUGACAUCAAAUCAAUAAUCAAAGGUGUAGUAGAAGAACUAUUUCAAAAUCACCAAGAAACAAUUGAAAAGAAACUGUAUGAAGAAGUGACGAAAUUAAGAGAAGAGAAUGAGGAAUGAAAACAAGCGAUUAGCUAGAGAUAUCGGAGAUCACGAUGAAGUUAUCAACGAUCUGUAUAACAAGCUAGAGGAAAAUGUAAUGAUGACAAAAACAGCAGUUUCAAAAGCAAAUUAUAAUGAGCAAUAUUCUAGGAAAAAUAAUAUCAAAUUCCAUGGAUUUCAUGAAAACGAAGGAGAAGAUCUCCUCCAGGUCCUAAAUGAAGUUCUGUUAGAAGUGGGGACGGAGAUAGAGGAAAAGGAUUUGGUAGCGAUACAUAGGAUCCCGGGGCAAAAAGUUCAUCUACGACCCAUUCUCAUCAAACUGCGUAACGCAGAAACAAAAGCCAGAGUGAUGAGGAAAAGAUCAAGUAUCAAAGCGCUGAAGAACAAAGUCAAGGUGACAGAUGAUGUGACAAAAGACAACUCUGAACUGAUUUCCAAACUCUUAAAGGGCGAAAGAAUGAAUUCAGCUUGGUACUUCAAUGGAUCGGUAUAUGGACAGUGCGGUAAUCGCAGAAUCAAGUUUGACUGAUUUGACGAUAUCGAUAAAAAGCUACGGAAAGAGUAAAUCCAUUCAGUGCCGGUUCUUUAUUUACUUUGUGACAUGCAUUUCCGGUGAUACUUUUCAACUGAACUCGUGAGUAUCAACUAGCAAGCCCCUAGGAGCUGCUUAAUAGAAUAUACAUGUACAUGGACAACACAACGGUAGGUAUGACGAGUUUCUCAGCCAAGCAGUUCAGUUAAUUCUAGACCACAUGAGGGGAUGUGGACCCAUAAUUAAUCAUCCAAUUAUCGUGACCAGCAAUGGAAUAAAGAUACAAAAUCCAGAUUUUAGCAUGUUUCACAAUGUCAAUAGUACUGGAAACGUAACCAUUAAAGUAAACUCUCUGAAGGAAUGAAAUAGUCAAAUAUCGUUGUACAGUAUACCAUGUAUUUAUGUUUGGGUCAAUGACCCCACCGACCCACCCACCCAAUUUUAAAAAAAAUGUUUAUCAACUUGUUAGUGUGAUAUUCUAUAUUGAAUACAUGUUGUUAAAUGAACAUAAAGAUAAAGAGGGUAAUUUACUUGUUUUAGAGAUUAUUAUUUUUAAAAAGUAUGAUAUCUUAUUAGUAAAUGUAUAUGGGCCAAACAAUGAUGAUCCACAUUUCUUUCAAUCUAUAUCAGACAUCAUCUCAAACUUUCAAGGUGAAUUCAUUAUUAUGGCCGGAGACUUUAAUCUUGUUCAAGAUGUAAAUUUAGAUUACUUUAACUACAAUAAUGUUAAUAACAAAAAGGCAAGAGAAAAAGUUUUUAGUAUGAAGGAUAUACACUGUUUGAAGGAUCCUUGAAGAGUGAAAUAUGAACAAAGGAAAAGAAACACAUGGUUUAAAACUAAUCCUAUCAAAAAGGCUAGACUUGAUUUUUUCUUAGUAUCAAAUGAAUUAAUGGCUUUGCUAGACAAAAUUGAUAUCAAUCCAGGAUAUAAAUCUGACCAUUCGAUGGUUUAUAUGGAAAUUAAGUUAACUCAAUUUGAAAAGGGUAAAGGCUUCUGGAAGUUUAAUAGUUCACUACUCAAGGAUCUGACCUAUGUAAACAAUAUCAAAAGUAUUAUACAUAAGGUCAAAGAACAAUAUGCCGUCUUGCCAUAUAAUCCUGCUUACAUACAUAUGAUCAAGAACGAUGAAUUACAACUACUCAUAGAUGAUCAGUUGUUUUUUGAACAACUCUUGCUGAGCAUAAGAGGUGCUACUAUUCGUUAUUGUUUCAUAAAAAAGAAAUUAAAAAACGAAAAAAUACAUUCAAUUGAAGAAGAAAUAAAGCAUUUAGAAUUACUAAGGAACAAUGAUGACUCCACAGAAAUUGUACAAAAAUUAAAUGCUGCUCAAAUUUUUUUUAGAGGAACUCAGAAAAGACUAUAUUAAGGGCCUUUUUGUCAGAACAAAACUUAAAUGGAUUGAGCAGGGAGAAAAACCAACGAAAUAUUUCCUCAGCCUAGGAAAAAGAAAUUAUAUAAAUAAAACUGUAAACAAACUUAUGUUGAGCAAUGGUAAUACUAUUUCUUCACAGACAGAUAUUUUAGCAUGAGAAAUUCUACAAAAAUCUUUAUUCUAGUUAUGAUAAAUUACAAGAUGUAAACAUUGAUACCAUUAUUGAUAAGAAUGAUGUUAGAAUACUUGAUGACAACAUGUCAAAAACAUUAGAGGGAUAUAUAAACAAUGAAGAAGCCCUUUUAGCACUUAAAAAUAUGUCUAAUGGUAAAAGUCCUGGAAGUGACGGAUUCACAGCAGAAUUUUUCAAUUUUUUUUGGAAAGAUCUUGGAUGUUUUUUAAUUAGGUCAAUAAACUUUGGAUUUAAUGUGGGAGAACUGUCUGUAACACAGAAACAAGACAUUAUAUCUAUAUUACCAAAAGGAUACAAACCCAGGGGAUUAUAUACUUACAAAUUGGCGACCGAUAUCACUUCUUAAUGCAAGGUGAAGAUAACGAACAGUGAUCAAUCUCAUAACUCCUACAAGCAAUACAAAAUAGAUAGUUGGGCAAACACGGACCCCUGGACACACCAGAGGUGGGAUCAGGUGCCUAGGAGGAGUAAGCAUCCCCUGUUGACCGGUCACACCCGCCGUAACGUACAAAAUUGCUUCUGCAUGUAUAGCAAAUAGAAUAAAAAAAAUUCUAGAUUUUCUAAUACAUGACAAUCAAAAGGGCUUCCUCAAAGAUAGGUUUAUUGGGGAAAAUACGCGACUUAUUUACGAUGUGAUAGAUUCUGUACAUGAAAAACACAUCCCAGGUAUGCUCUUACUUGUGGAUUUUGAAAACACAUUUGACUCUAUAUCAUGGAAAUUUACCUUAAAUUUUUUUAAUUUCGGUCAUGAUCUUAUCAAAUGGGUAUCAGUGUUAUACAAUAAGGUCAAAUUAUGUGUUAUUCAAAAUGGUGUUUUUUCACAUUUUUUUGAAAUUGGCAGGGGUUGUCGUCAAGGUGAUCCAAUAUCUCCUUAUUUAUUCAACCUUUGUGUCGAAAUUUUAGGCCAUAUGAUACGACAAAACAAAAACAUCAGGGGCAUUAAAAUAAAUGAAGAAAGAAUUUGUUUAAUACAAUAUGCAGAUGACACAGUUUUAUUUUUGGAUGGAUCAGAAAAAAGUCUAAAAAGUGCUCUUGAUCUCCUCUUUCAAUUUUCAAAAUUUUCAGAUUUAAAACCCAAUAUUUCCAAAACCAAAUCAAUUUGGAUUGGUUCUAAGAUUAAUACUAAAGAUACUUUUUGUAGUGAUACUGGAUUACAAUGGACAACAGGACCAUUCACAGUUUUAGGCAUUACAUAUACUGUAAACCUUAAGAACAUGGAAAAGCUUAAUUUUGAUAACAGGUUUACAGCUAUCCAGAAAGAAAUAACCCAAUGGUCAAAAAGAAAUAUUUCUCCCAUAGGAAAAAUUACAGUGGUGAAAAGUUUGUUUCUAUCAAAAUUUACGCACUUGUUCAUUUCGCUUCCCAAACCAAGUUUACAGUGGAUAAAGCAACUUAUAAAAGUUUUUUACAAAUUUAUAUGGGGGAACAAAAUGGAGAAAAUUUCUAGAAAAACACUAGAAUUAGAUUUUGAAAAUGGUGGGUGUAGAAUGACCAAUAUAGAAACAUUUAUCAAGUCUCUCAAACUAACUUGGUUUAGGAGACUCGAUCUUUACAACUAAUUCUACAUGUAGCUGGAUAAGCUUAUUUUCUGAAAUUACUGGUUGUAACAUUACAAAAUUGUGUCAUUUUGGACCUGUUUACUGUAAACAAAAAGCAAAUUCCACUAGAACUCUUUUUGGAAAGAAACUUUAUUUUACUUCGCAGAAUUUUUGGAAAGUUUUGAAAUGAAUGAUUUUCAUAUUUUUUUGGAACCCCUGUGGUAUAAUGAUAAAAUAAAGAUUCAAAAUAAAUACAUAUUUUGCAAGCAAUUAUAUGACAAGGGGUUUCAUAUAAUAUCUGAUUUAUUAGAUAAGCAUGGUAACUUUAUCAGCUACCAGAGAAUCACAAAUGAUUACUCAAUUCAGAUUCCAUUUACUACAUAUGAGGGAUUGAAACAAGCUAUUAUGCACUCAUGGCCUAAUAUCAAACUGCUUAUACAUGAUACAACUUUUCAACCAUAUCAACCCGAAUUCAUUAAAAUUCUAUGCAAAUACAAAAAAGGUUCUAGGAAUAUUUAUGACUAUUUAAUAUCAAUAUCACAGCAUCGACCUAUUUGUGAAAACAAAUGGGAUAAUGAUUUAAAUUUGCAAUUAGAUUUAAAUUGGAAACAUGUAUAUACAAACAUCAAAUCUGUAAACUAUAGAAUCAUUCAUAGAAUAUUGGGUACUAACAAACUCCUACAUAUAUCAAAAAUUAAAAACUUUCCACUUUGUUCAAUAUGUGCACUAGAACCAGAAACAAUUAAGCAUAUCUUUUUUUUAUUGUCCUUCUGUCUCUACACUAUGGACAAAAUUAUCAGAUUGGAAUUUUCAAAAAUCUGGUAAAAGAAUGGGAUUUAGUGUACAAACUGUUAUUUUUGAUUUUCCAGAAAAAGAACACAUGGUUUUAAACUUUAUAAUCCUCUUAGUAAAGAGAUACAUAUUCCAAUAUUCAAGAAAGAAUGUCAAUAUUGUUUUUGAUGAUGUUUUGAAAUGUUUAUUUGAUUACUACAUUUUGGAAGAAAAACGUACAGAACAAAUAUUUUACAAAAAGAAAUGGUGUAAAUGGAAAUGUCGAUCUUUUCAAUUAAUGAUAACAGCAUUUCUUCUUUUUUUAACAAUAAGUACUAAAAUAUACAUGUAAUUGUCUAUAUCGCUUUCUUUAAUCUGUAUGAGAGUGUGAGUAAAAGGUGUAUAUGUAUUUGUUGAAAAUGAUAAAAACAAUUUAAAAAAAAAAUGUUAUAACACAUUAAUAAUCUGUUAUAACAAAUUAGUAAUUUGUUAAUAACAGAUUAUUAAUCUGUUAUAACAAAUUACUAAUUUGUUUUAACAAAUUAUCAAUCUGUUAUAACAAAUUAUUAAUCUGUUAUAACAAAUUUAACAGAUUAUCAAUAUCAAGAAUCGAUUACAAUAUCAACGACAAGACAAGACAUCAUAAUAGACAAUCGUGAAUUUUCUCUCCAUAGUCUCCACAUAUCAAAGGUCUAUGUCAAAAGACUAAAAAGCUAUGGCCCGGACAAACUUAAUAUGAGAAACGGAAGAAGAUGGAAGAAUUCACACUAAAAUAAUGUCCCCUUUCUGGGAAGGGGAGGUAUAUUUAUUCAUAAAUAUUCUUAAAGAAAAAAUGUGAAAUACCACAGGUACAAAAACUUUUCAAUCAAGAACAUGCAUACAUUUUCAAAAUGGGUUUCCUGCAAACUGAAAGUUAUGUGCUCAAUAUAUCAGGUCUAGCACCAUGUAUUAGAAGGCUUUUAAAGUUACAAUUAUAACUAAAGUGGCAAUAAAGCAAAACAAGAGGUUCAUGGGCCUUAAAGAUGGCCUGAGUCUGAGCUAAUCUGCAAAAGCUAUAGAUAUAAUAUGAAUAGAAAUUACAUAUAUGCAUAUGUAGCUUAGAUAUGCAACCAGGAAAAUUAGUAUCGAUUUCAUAGCCGUUUGCAGUAGUGAUACUUUUAACUAAUGCUCAGGUUACCAAUAAAGCAUGUGGUCCUCUUGUUAAAUUAAUGAUUUUAAUAGCAAUUUAGUAACUUGAAAUAACAAAUUGAUAAUAUGUUAUAACAAAUUAGCAAUUUGAAAUAACAAAUUAAUAAUUUGUUAUAACAGAUUGAUAAUAAAAUAAUGAGUUACUCAUCAUCAGAGUUCUUUACACUUUGAAAUUGCCGCGUAAAAAGAAUCACACCGCGUAAAAAGAAUCAGUAAAGCAAAGCCGUUAUAAAAUUUCUAAAAUGGGAAUUUUAUUUUUCAACGGGUAUUAGUUGAGAAAUGCAUUAAAAGAUAAUUACAUGUAUCAGAAUAUUCAUGCUUCACCUUUACAGUUAUGUAUACUAUAUCGAUAAAAGAAACACCCACACCUUCAAAAUUUUCUCAGUAUUAGAGACAUUUAAUCAAUUACCUGAAGAUCAGUAAAUAUAAUUUUCCUUGCCAAUUGAUUUAUGAAAAAUAUAACUUUUUCUGAAAUGCAAUAAUUAAAUAUAUGUAUAAUUCUAUUAGAAUUUACCAUUUGUGUUAAAGUAUGAAAGAAAAAGACGUAUCUUUAUAAUUGUAAUUGUAAUUAAAAGAUUUAUAUAGCGCCCUAUCAACAUUAGUUCUCUAAAGCGCUUUACAAAUGUGAAAGAAAAGAUAAUAUAAAAUCGAUGUGCACAUACAUGUGAAUAAAAUAUUCAUAGUGUCAGAAUUAAAAUGCAUAAAUAUUAUUAUUAAUAUAUAGCGAUAUGAUAUGAUUACCCUAAUAACAUAUGAAACAAUUUAAAACAACCCUUAGGAAUAAUUAAAUACAUAACAAGGACAUAGGCAUAAUAACAAACAGCAGGGUUUUUUUUUUUUGGGGGGGGGGGGUGUUUGUUUUUUGUUAACAGCACUGUAAGAGCUGUAUGUAAGAGCACUAAGUAUAUAAAAAUAAUCACAAAUUAAAAGCUAAUUUAAAGAGAUGCGUUUUGAGGUCCACUUUAAAAUUAGACAAUGAAGUACAUUGUCUGAGUUUAAAAGGCAGAGAAUUCCAGAGACUCGAUGCAGCUUUGUCCAAACGUCGAUCCCCAUAUGUUUUCGUACGUGUCCGAGGUACCUGGAGAAGAUGCAGAGAUUCGGAUCUUAGUGAUCGUGUGGGAUUGUAAACUGUAAGGAUAUCCUUUAUGUAAACUGGAGAUAGGUUGUUGGGAGAUUUGAAAGUAUGAAGAAGUAUCUUAUAUUGAAUUCCGUAUUCAACUGGGAACCAGUGAAGAUCUAUUAGAACAGGAGUAAUAUGGUCGGAUUUUUUUUAGCGUGUUAUUAAUCUUACAGCUGUGUUUUGUGCCCUCUGAAGUUUGCUGGUGUGUUUAGAAUGAACACCCAGUUUUCAUUGCCUCUACAUUACCGGACAUUUGGUCCGUCACGAUUCUAACUUUUACCGGACCGAGUCUAUUUUUACCGGACUUGUCCGACGGUCCGACGAACCUUCGGAAACACUGUAAAGCAAUGCAUUUCCGUAAUCUAAUCUGGAUGUAACUAGCGAGUUUACUAGAGUUUUACAUGCUUCAUCAUUGAUAAAUGUUAAAAGUGUAAAUAACACACACAAAAUAAAACUAAAAUGUGAUAAUAUAUUUAUAUAUAAUAUUGGGGGCAGGGUUUGACACUAAUUAGGCACGCCCGACCGACCGAGACUACUAAAUGAUAGGUCUGGUCGGGUAAAAUGUUUAUUUACUAGUCCGACUGGUCGUGUUAAAAAUAUGAACAAAUUUAAGAAACUUUACUUUAAAUCAUAAGAUAUUUUAUUCAUAAAAAAAAUAACUGUAAAGAGUUUGCGAGCAAUUUUGAACCGCAUGAUGACAUAAUCUCUAUCUUUAGUUCUAAUAAGUCGCGGUCGUAAGUGAUGUUCUACGACAUCUACACAUUGUUAAUGUACAUGUGUAAAGUUAUGUUUUGGUUAAAUAGAAUUAUUGAAUUCAUUUUCAUUAAAAAAAAAACCCACCAAAACAGUUCAUUUGAAUUGAAUAUAAGAAAGUGUUUAUUAAACAUAUGUGCGGGAAUGUCUAUAUAAUCAAAUAUGAAAUCUCGUCCUCAAUGAAAGCAAAAGAUGUCUCAAGAAAGAAAAAAAAGGAAAACGUUGGGAAGAAACAAAGCAGCUAGGGCUUAUGAAAUAGAAAUUUUAAAAAAAAUAUUGAGGUCAAUUUAUUCUAAAUGGAUUAAAGAAUUUCCGUGCCGGUAAAAAUUUAAUGAAACUGAAAAUAGGGUUGAAAGUAAAAGCAUCAAAUUGAAUGACGAGAUUAAAGAUUUUUUUGAGACAAUUAAAUGCAUUUUGGUUCAAACUUAACGUUUUUCAUUUAAAUUAAGUACAUGUAUUUAGAUAUGGAGAAUCUUAUAAGAUUUUUUUCUGGAACGUUGGUCAGGGCUAGUGGAUGUAAGGUCAGGUCUAGCAAAAAUCAUUUUAAAUAGCCCGAUCGGUCUAGUGCCCCAAAAAGUUAAUGUCAAACCCUGGGGGGCGAAUGUCUCAAGAGAAGGGGGCGACUUGUCCUGAGAGAGGGCGAGUUGUCCUAAGAGGGGGCGAGUUGUCCAGCAUUCGAAUUCUAUUGGUAUCAAUUAUAUAGUAGGCCUAGUAAGAAUACUAUUCUACUUCUAUUCAGUAGAAAUAGAGCAACACAUACAAGAAUAUUUAAGCUUACAUUUAUGUAUAGUAGUCUGGUACCACUAAAUAUAUUAAGUUGAGUGUUCAUAAUAUGUUAAAAAUUCAGAUCAUGAUGUUUAUUUACAUGGCAGAGGGCAUAAACAUGCACCAUACUUUUCAUGAAGCACCAACACUCUUCAUGAAGUAUGCUGGCGUAAAGCCCAGCAGUUCAGGGUACCUGUAAAGUGCGAAACGAAACGAAAUAUACCGAAACGAAACGAAAUCCACCGAAACGAAACGAAAUAUGUCGAAAGGAAACGAAAUCCAACGAAACGAAACCUACCUAAGCGAAAUGAAACAAAUUGUAUAACCGAACUCUUUUAAUUAUAAUAAUUAAAAAUGGCAUCUUAGGCCCCUGUGAAAGUUACCACAUAUCAAUAAAAUUCGCCUCCCCUUUGAUGCUUAACUGAUACAAAGUUUUAAAAGUUGGAAGGGUGGGGUGGGGGGUGAGUAAGCACAAAGUACAUAAAUAACUUGUGCAAUUAGUUUCGGAUCCAUAAAUUUCAGAACGGAGGGUUACAGUCUCACAGGUCAGAGGUUUGGGGAAACACACUAAACGAGGAGUGGGGUCACCGGCGUUGGAUCCGCCUUUGGGCAUAUAAAUACAUGUUUCAGUAUUUUUUGCUCUAAAGAUAAAUCUAUGUAUACAUGUGGAUAUUGUGUAUUUGUAUGUAGUAUAUAUCAAACGGUGGAUUCUGAGUAUGUCCUCCCGUUCUCUUUGUAAUUUCUGCUUCCCAUGUUCAUAAGCCUUUUGAUUUUACAAAAUGCUGACCUCCUCCUGAUAUUAUUGCAUUAAAAAAAUUCCGUUUUCCGUCCCGUUUUCAAUUCCCCGUCUUAGCAACACCCCAAAUGUAUAGAGUUAUCUUUAGACCCACUACAUAUCAAUAAUAAUUUUUAAUAAUGCAUGUAUAUAUAUAUCUUACUGAAUUGCAUUCAUAUAAUAUGGUAUACUAUUCAAUUUUUUUUCCAUUAUUGAAAGUACUCGCACCUCAGCAGUUAGAGAUAAAAUAAGAGGUUAAGAGCUCUUUCUGCUUUCAACUUUCUCAGACACAAUUUUCUUCAAACAAUGUAUCUAUAUGCCCAAAAGCGGAUCCAACGCCGGCGACCCCACCCCUUGUUUCGUGUGUUUCCCCAGACCUCUGAGACUGUAACCCUUCGUUCUGAAAUUUAUGGAUCCGAAACUAAUUGCACAUGGUAUUUAAUCAACUUCGGAUAUGUACUUUGUGCUGACUCACCCCCUUCCAACUUUUAAAACUUUGUAUCAGUCAAGCCGAAGGCCUACAUCAAAGGGGAGGCGAAUUUUAUUGAUAUGUGGUAACUUUCACAGGGGCCUAAGAUACCAUUUUUAAUUAUUAUAAUUAAAAGAGAUCGGUUAUACAAUCUGUUUCGUUUCGGUAGAUUUUGUUUCGUUUCGGCGGAUUUCAUUUCGUUUCGUUUCGAUUUCGUUUCGCACUUUACAGGUACCCAGCAGUUCAUGCCCUUAAAUACUUUAAAAAAUUUAAAUUAUUUCUUAAAUAUGCAUACAUGUAUUUGUACUUUAAUAAUCCAUGUUUAGGAAAUAUUUUCAUGUUAUAUAUGUUAAUCAUAUGUGUCACCAUGCAAUGUUAGAUUGAAAAAUAAAAUAAAUACAUGUGUAUAUGCAAGCUAAUGUUUCAUUAGAUUCUUUGCAUUUGAUUUUAAUGUCAAGUUUCUUUUUCAUAGUUGACGCAACAGAUUAUGAGAUACAGAUGAAACAUGCAGGGAACCAUGUAAAUGAUUCUUAAAGUGGCUACCCAGGUGCUGUUUAAGGAAGCUUGUAAUAGGAGUGGAAAACCACCCAAAAACUAUGUGUCUCAAAAUGCCAGUAGAGACAUAGAAAGAAGAGAGGAACUAGCUGGGAUAUCAUUAUCAAGAACCUAACCUCCUUGGAGUCAAACUAUAUUCAGAGGGAAUGCAGAUACUGAGGCACCCUAGCUCAUCUAGGAAGUCGGGAAGAAAAAAGCGAGCCAAUGUUCAGUGCCACACUUGGACCACUGCAGAAAAGGCAGCUUUGUAAAGACAAUUUGAGACUUUCAUCAAACUAGGAAAAACUCUGGCUCAGGUUGACUGUCUAAAAUCCAUUUGGAAGGAGAAAUCGCUGUCCAGUUUAACAUGGUGUCGUGGAAAGUUUGCUGUUAAAAAUAUUACUUCCUGGCAGAGGUGUUACAAAGAGUUAAUCCAAUUUUUAUGCCCCCUCCAUUUGAAAGAGAGGGGACGUAUAUAUUGUUUUACAUGACUAAUUCGGUCUGUAGAGCAAAUCUUGUCUGCUCAAUAUCUAAUGAAUUCUUUUGCUUGACUGUUUCCAAACUUGGUACAAUGAUUGCCCCUAGAUAGUGAAUGAACCAUAUUAAUUUACAGGUCACAGGGUCAAGGGUCAAACUGGACACAGUAAGAUAUUUUCUGUUCAAUAUCUUGAGAACGCUUUCCUGACAGACAUCAAACUCGGUAUACUGGUUUCUUUUAAGAAGUAGGUGGUUUCUUUUAAGAAGUAGAUGGUUUCCUUUAAGAAGUAUAUGUCCCAUAAUGUCCCAUAUUCAUUUUGAAGUCACAAGGACAAAGGUCAAACUGUACAUAAUAAAAUAUUGUCCACUGAAUAUUUAAAGAACCAACCCUUUACCUGACAGUUACUAAACUUGGUACAGCGGUUGCCCCUAGAGAGUAGAUGACCCCUACUGAUUUCCAGAUCCCAAGGUUGAAGGUAAAAUUGGACAUAGUAAGAUACCGUCUGUUCAAUAUUUGAGAACCAUUCGCUUGACAGACAUCAAACUUGGUUCACUAAUUUUCCUUAAGAAUUAGAUACCCCAUGGAUUUUGAGGUCACAAGGUCAAGGGUCAAACUGGACAUGACAAGAUAUUGUCUGCUCAAUAUAUUGAGGACUCUUUGCUUGACAGAUAUCAAAUCAGGUACACUGGUUCUACCUAAGGAGUAGAUGACUCCAUUUGAUUUUGAAGUCACAAGGUCAAUGGUCAAAAUACUACGGACAUAGGUAUUGUCUACACAAUAUCUUGAGUUUGCGUUUCUUGACAGACAUCAAACUUGGUACACUGACACAUCAUAAGUGUAGAUAUCUAGUAUUCAUUUUAAGGUCAAUGGUCAAACUACUCUGGACAUCAGAUUUUGUCCAUUCAGUAUCUUGAGAACCCUUGUUUGACAAACAUCAAACUUGGUAGUCUGGUGCCGCCUAAAGAAUAGAUGGCUCCCAUUGGUUUUAAACUCUCAAGGUCAAAGGUCAGGACUCAAAUAACUGGUUAUUUGAAAAUAUCUGCUCAGUACCUUUAGAGAUCACAUAUAAUGGUUGCCUCUGACUAAUAGAUACAUUGUAACUUUUGCUACAGACAUUCUAAAUGAUCAUUUUCAAUAUUGUAAUAUGGAGGGCAUAUAUGUUUCUUAAAUCUUUCUUGUAAAUGGUUUUGAUACUGGUUUUAUAUACAAGAUGUAUUAUCAGCAUUUGUCAUUCAUUGUACACCAUACAUUGGUUCAUUCAAAAUUGAUAAAUAUAUAAUCAACAGCAGUACACAUGAAAUAAUUCUCCAUCUAUAUCUUGAAUUGAACAAAAAGUUUAAUGGUAUUCCAAGGCCUUAUAUUCAUGUGCGAUUGAAAGACUGAAUGAAUAUACUAAGAUAAUAUAACAGUAUUUAACUAAAACUAAUUGCAGUUUAACACUAAUGUACUUAUAAUGUAAUUGAUAGUACCACGCUCUUACUUGUAACUUGUUUUCAUUUAUAUUCAAUAGAUAUUUCAAGUUUGAUAGCUAACUCAAAUUUCAAAUAUGAAUGAACAUUAAGUGUCUGCUGUUUUAAGACUAAAGAGUAGCUUUAUUUACAUCAUAUGAGGUUUUUUGAGCUGAAUUGAUCAGCUUUGUAUGCUUAUGAAAUAAAUAUGUACACCUAUA